GACGAACGCUGGCGGCGUGCUUAACACAUGCAAGUCGAACGAUGACGACCGAGCUUGCUCGGUCUGAUUAGUGGCGAACGGGUGAGUAACACGUGAGCAACCUGCCCUUCACUCUGGGAUAACCUCGGGAAAUCGGGGCUAAUACCGGAUAUGAGCUCCUGUCGCAUGGCGGGUGUUGGAAAGUUUUUCGGUGAAGGAUGGGCUCGCGGCCUAUCAGUUUGUUGGUGAGGUAGUGGCUCACCAAGGCGAUGACGGGUAGCCGGCCUGAGAGGGCGACCGGCCACACUGGGACUGAGACACGGCCCAGCCUCCUACGGGAGGCAGCAGUGGGGAAUAUUGCACAAUGGGCGAAAGCCUGAUGCAGCGACGCCGCGUGAGGGAUGACGGCCUUCGGGUUGUAAACCUCUUUCCGCAGGGAAGAAGCGAAAGUGACGGUACCUGCAGAAGAAGCGCCGGCUAACUACGUG
rnacentral:rRNA from 1 species